rnacentral:rRNA from 1 species
AUGGUGGCAGGGGGCGGCAGAUCACAACAGGAGGAACCGCUAGAUGAGAAACCGAAGUACCUGAAUCUCAGGGAAGAUGAAGAAGAAGAUGUGGUCUUGGAGGAGGAUCAGGAAGAGCUAGAAAAGGAUGCGGAGUUCACGGUGAUAGCCCGGGUGCAUACUGCGAGAAAAUUUAGCCAUGGGGCCUUCUAUGGAACGAUGAGAUCUGCAUGGAAUCUUGCACGAGAAGUGGAGUUCAGAGCCAUAGAAGAUAAUUUGUUCUCUAUGCAGAUCACAUGCCUAGGGGAUUGGGAGAGAGUCAUGCAUGAUGGGCCUUGGAUAUUCCGAAACUGUCCAGAUUUACUUGCUCCUUAUGAUGGCUGGUCGGAGCCAAAUGAGGUGGAUCUGAAUACCUACCAGGUGUGGGUGAGGGUGAUGGGGUUGAAAGAGAAGAUAAGGAGUGUGAAUAUAGCCCAGCAAUUGGCAACGAAGGAAGGCACUAUUGUAAGAGUUGAUGAAUGA